rnacentral:rRNA from 1 species
CACGGGGGGAGCAAGCGUUGUUCGGAAUCACUGGGCGUAAAGGGCUCGUAGGUGGCCAAUUAAGUCAGACGUGAAAUCCCCAAGCUUAACUUGGGAACUGCGUCUGAUACUGAGUGGCUUGAAUUCGGGAGAGGGAUGCAGAAUUCCAGGUGUAGCGGUGAAAUGCGUAGAUAUCUGGAGGAAUACCGGUGGCGAAGGCGGCAUCCUGGACCGAGAUUGACACUGAGGAGCGAAAGCCAGGGGAGCAAACGGG